GGGCGCGUAGCUCAGCUGGGAGAGCACCUGCCUUACAAGCAGGGGGUCACAGGUUCGAGCCCUGUCGCGCCCA
rfam:[Clostridium] acidurici 9a chromosome, complete genome.